rnacentral:rRNA from 1 species
GACGAACGCUGGCGGCGUGCCUAACACAUGCAAGUCGAGCGAGGAAUGACAGGUAGCUUGCUACCGGUUAUUUCUAGCGGCGGACGGGUGAGUAACGCGUGAGCAACCUGCCUUUAUCAGGGGGAUAACGCAUCGAAAGAUGUGCUAAUACCGCGUAAGACCACAGCUUCACAUGGAGCAGGGGUCAAAGGAGCAAUCCGGAUAAAGAUGGGCUCGCGUCCGAUUAGCUAGUUGGUGAGAUAACAGCCCACCAAGGCGACGAUCGGUAGCCGACCUGAGAGGGUGAUCGGCCACAUUGGAACUGAGAUACGGUCCAGACUCCUACGGGAGGCAGCAGUGGGGAAUAUUGCACAAUGGGCGCAAGCCUGAUGCAGCAACGCCGCGUGAGGGAUGACGGCCUUCGGGUUGUAAACCUCUUUUAGUAGGGAAGAAGCGAAAGUGACGGUACCUGCAGAAAAAGCACCGGCUAACUACGUGCCAGCCGCCGCUGUAA